UAUUAAUAUCAAUAAAUAUAUAAAUAACAUUAGCUUAUUAAACACUAUACAUUAACAUAAUGUAACCAUAAACAUUCCCAAUUCCACCCCUUUGUCGACCAUUCCUGCUAAUCCUAGGCACCUGCCUCCCACCUCGUCCAAUACAGCAACCGGCCUCACAACUGGCCUAACAUUAACUCCAUGCUAACCACUGGCCUGCCUCUGGCUCAGUGGGCACGUACAUUACCCAUAAUCAUAACUGUGAUUAGGGGAGGGAUCAGCUCCGAUCAUCCUUUGCCACUGGACCGCUAGUCCAACCCUGAUUGACAAUGACCUUUUCUGCCAAAC